ACGUACCACAUCAUUAUUUUCUCUCUAGCUAUUUAUUUUGUUGUUUCAAUAUGCAAGGAAGCAACAACGUGACUUCCAUUUAUAUGGAAACAACGCAGUUUUGAAUUGAUAGAGCACCAACGUGACUUGGUAUUUUACGGAAGAAAAAUGUAAUUUUUUUUUUCUCAAGAACAAUAUUCGAAUUUUGCUCACUACUUCGAUCUCGUUAUUCCGUCUUAUCGUGUUGUUGAAUCCGGGCUUUUUUUCGUGGUGAAGUAAGGUGGAAGAAGAUUAUUUCUUGGAAUAUAAGACCUACGAGCUCGAGAAGUAGACGUUGGACAUUAGAUAGAGUUCAAGGUAUGUGAGGCUAGUCCUUUCUUUCUAUGGCAUGAAUCUUAUAGCUUGACUCUCUUUUUAUCCAUGAGUUUCCUUAAGUUCCGAAAAAUAUGAGUCUAUGUCCAUAAUUAGCCACACAAGGUAAUGAGUAAAGUAUAGAAAUCCCAAUACUCAUGUUGUGAUGAUCCUAUGAUGUUAAUGAUGCUAUUUAUUGCUUACACUCACCUUAUAUGCUAAUUCCUUCAAGGUGAGGCAGGAUGUCAAUGAAUGUUCCAUAAUGACGUCGGAAGCCACCGACCUUACGUCACUCCGAUAUAGUUAUGGAUUUUUAUUGGGCUCUUGUGCAUGCUUUAUAUAUGUAUAUGUAUGUAUUUUCUCACACCGCGCCGCGCUAUAGUCGGUCGGGCAGGCACGUAGAUGUGCACACCACUAUAGUGGGCAGCUUAUACCCCGGACGCGGAAGGCCUGGACGCAGGCUAUGAUUAUCACACCGCUCCUACAUGGACGGGCAGCUUAUACAUUAUCACACCGUACCUAUAUGGACGGGCAGCUUAUAUAUGUAUACAUACAUGACAUGAUAAUGAUUAUGAGUAGACAAGGAGGUGAGCUUGAUCCAGAUUCUUAGUAGCUGUCAGCUGAUUGAGAGCACUCCAUUGUUCGGAGGUGCUUAUGAUCCUUCUUUUGGUAUAUAUGCAUAUUUUGGGCACAACGGAGUCUUGUUCCAUUUAUAUGUUUAGUAUGUCAGUAGAGGCUCGUAGAUACGCAAUGUGGGUUAGAUGGUCUCACAAGAUUACUAUGUUACAUUUGUAUAUGUUAUUUUGAUAGCCUAAGGGGCACGUGUAUAUAAAAUUAUUUGUGUUUUCAAACGAAAAAUGGUUGUCUUAUGAUUAUGAGAUUAUGAAUGAUAAAGAAAUGUAAAAUGGUUAUGACGAGUGAGGAAACGAGCGGUGCUCGGUGGUUAGCCCGGGUGCCCGUCGCGGCCCUAGUCGGGUCGUGACACUGCCCCCCCCCCCCCACCGCCCUCUG